rnacentral:tRNA from 1 species
GCAUUGGUGGUUCAGUGGUAGAAUUCUUGCCUUACAUGUAGGAGACCUGGGUUUGAUUCCCAGCAAAUGCA